AUCGGAUGGUUUGUUUUAGCCUGAGCUAUGUGUUAUUGCAUAUUCAUAGCUACUUGCUAAAACAUACCAAUCGAG
rfam:Caenorhabditis briggsae complete genome, chrII